GGCCUGUUGGUCUAGGGGUAUGAUUCCUGCUUUGGGUGCAGGAGGUCCCGGGAAAUUCAAAUCCCGGACAGGCCC